rnacentral:rRNA from 1 species
UAUCGGUGGAUCACUCGGCUCGUAGGUCGAUG